UACAAUUUUCAGAUGUCCAUGGGUUGCCUUUUCACUUUGCUGUUAGUGUCCUUUGAUGCAGAAAAGAUUUUAAUUUUAAUAUAGACCAGUGUAUCCGUAUUUUCUGUUUUUGUGCGUGCCUUUGAUAUCACAUCCAAGAAACCUUUACCAAAUCGAAUGUCAUGAAACUUUUUCUCUGUUUUCUAAUAAGAGUUUUAUAGUUUUAACUCUAAUGCAUAGGUCCUUGAUCCAUUUUGACUUAAUUUUUUUAAUGGUAUAAAGUAAGGGUCAACUUCAUUCAUUUACAUGUGGAUAUCCAGUUUUCCCAGCACCAUUUGUUGAAAAGAUUAUUGCCCUUUCCCCAUUGAAGGGUCGUGGCAUCCUUGUUGAAAAUCAUCUGACCAUGUGUGGGCUCUGUAUUCUUUUCCAUUCAUCUGUAUGUCAGUGAUUGCACUGGUAUAACUCUGUUUUAAUACUGUAGUUUUGUAGUAAAUUUUGAAAUCAGAAAAGUGUGAGGUCUUCCGAUUUAUUCUUCUUUUUCAAAAUAUUUAGACUAUUUGGGGUCCCUUGAGAUUCCCUAUGAAUUUUAAAAUGGAUUUUUCUAUUUCUGCGUAAAAGAUAUUGUUUAUAUUUUGAUAGGGAUUACACUGAAUCGAGAGAUGACUCAAGUAGUAUUAGCUAAUAUUAAGUCUUCCAAUCCAUGGACAUGGAACAUCUUUCCAUUUAUUGAUCUCAUCUUUGACUUCUUUCAGCACUGCUUUAUAGUUUUCAGUGUCUUCU